UGGGGAAUAUUGCGCAAUGGGGGAAACCCUGGCGCAGCGACGCCGCGUGUGGGAUGAAGGCCUUCGGGUUGUAAAGCACUUUCGGACGGAACGAAAUCGCGCGGGCGAAUACCCCGCGUGGAUGACGGUACCGUAAGAAGAAGCACCGGCUAACUACGUGCCAGCAGCCGCGGUAAUACGUAGGGUGCGAGCGUUAAUCGGGAAUUACUGGGCGUAAAGUGUGCGCAGGCGGCCGAGCAAGUCGAGUGUGAAAGCCCCGAGCUUAACUUGGGAAUUGCGCUCGAAACUACUUGGCUGGAGUGUGGCAGAGGAGGGUGGAAUUCCACGUGUAGCGGUGAAAUGCGUAGAUAUCGGAAGGAACACCAGUGGCGAAGGCGACUUCCUGGGCCAAUACUGACACUGAGGUGCGAAAGCGUGGGUAGCAAACAGGAUUAGAUACCCAUGUAGUCCCUGAGCGGGCUGGCAAGGCGCAU
rnacentral:rRNA from 1 species